rnacentral:rRNA from 1 species
AUUGAACGCUGGCGGCAGGCCUAACACAUGCAAGUCGAGCGGAUGAGUGGAGCUUGCUCCAUGAUUCAGCGGCGGACGGGUGAGUAAUGCCUAGGAAUCUGCCUGGUAGUGGGGGACAACGUUUCGAAAGGAACGCUAAUACCGCAUACGUCCUACGGGAGAAAGCAGGGGACCUUCGGGCCUCGCGCUAUCAGAUGAGCCUAGGUCGGAUUAGCUAGUAGGUGAGGUAAUGGCUCACCUAGGCGACGAUCCGUAACUGGUCUGAGAGGAUGAUCAGUUACACUGGAACUGAGACACGGUCCAGACUCCUACGGGAGGCAGCAGUGGGGAAUAUUGGACAAUGGGCGAAAGCCUGAUCCAGCCAUGCCGCGUGUGUGAAGAAGGUCUUCGGAUUGUAAAGCACUUUAAGUUGGGAGGAAGGGCAGUAAGUUAAUACCUUGCUGUUUUGACAUUACCAACAGAAUAAGCACCGGCUAACUUCGUGCCAGCAGCCGCGGUAAAAC